rnacentral:misc_RNA from 1 species
AAGUCGUAACAAGGUUUCCGUAGGUGAACCUGCGGAAGGAUCAUUACAGUAUUCUUUUGCCAGCGCUUAACUGCGCGGCGAAAAACCUUACACACAGUGUCUUUUUGAUACAGAACUCUUGCUUUGGUUUGGCCUAGAGAUAGGUUGGGCCAGAGGUUUAACAAAACACAAUUUAAUUAUUUUUAUUGACAGUCAAAUUUUGAAUUAAUCUUCAAAACUUUCAACAACGGAUCUCUUGGUUCUC